rnacentral:piRNA from 1 species
UGGGAUAACAGGUUUAUACCUUGCCAUAGC